rfam:Acyrthosiphon pisum strain LSR1 Contig36047, whole genome shotgun sequence.
AAAAAGGCUCUUUUCAGAACCACUACAUACAUACUAAUAUACAUAC